GAUCUUUAGACAAAUUAUAUGCCUACAUAAAAAGGCUUCCAUAAAAGAAUGAAAAUUUUCUGAAACAUCUAAUAGAGGCAUCAUUGCAGAAGGGACCAGUAAACUGAAUAUGUCAGAACAUGUUCCAUUAAUACAACAGAAGGUGAAUGCACAUCUGGGUUUCAAAAGUCUUAAAAGCAGAAAGAGAAUCAUCGAAUUUUUGGACUCUGAAUUUUCUUCUUCGAUUACCCAAUUCAAAGUGAAAUCUAAUGUACCACUUUGUUGGAGGACAUUAGCAAUAUCCUUCCUACUUUAAUAAUUAAAGUUAUUCCUUGCAACUAAUCAAAAGAACAGGUAUCAGCCAACCUAGGCCUUUCACCUUCAACUUUUGGAUCCCAUGAUAUCAGAUUGUCAUCACCAGAAAAAGAAAGAUCAACAAUGUAAUAUGUAAGAUUUAUUUGCUUCACACUCCUUCCAUCAAGAUUCUGAUGCCAUUUGAUUUUUUUUUAAUUAAUUUUAUGCUUAAUUGUGCUAUAGCAUUUUGUUGCAUUCAAGUAUCAUAGCACUAGUAAAUGGAAGGAUAUCAAUCACAAUUAACAAAUCCAGCUGUGCCUUGCAAUAAAUGCCCAUAGAGCGUCGGAAGAACUUUGGCAAAAAAGUUACUAGGUCUAAGAUAUGAAGUAUGGAAUUCCUAAGAAACGAGGGUGAUGCGUUAAAACUGGUGAAGAAAAUUCAUUUGUAAUACAUUGAUUUCAACAAAUUCACAAUGGCUGAUACUUCCAAUCCUCAAACAUCAAUUACAUCACAUCAACAGCGCUACACUCGUGGAGGCAAUAAAGAAGAGAGAGACAAAAGGAGCGCUUUGAAUUUGUUUCACUUUCUGCACAAGCCUUGUUGAAUUUAAUUUUCUCUUCAUCUUCCAAGUUCUUUCUCUUUUGGUCUCUUCAGCAAUCUCGCUUUCAGCCCUUCCUCCCAACCCCCCAAAAAUGAAAAUCUUCCACCCACUCUAAGUCCUCUAGAUGAUGAUAUUGUCACAAAUGUAAAUCUUAAGUUUCAAUAAUUGUAUCCCCUUGAUGAUGAUACUGCCACUUUCAAAAUGCAAAAUGCAGUUUUAGAAGAUAGAUAGCAGCGUCUAAUUGGAGGCAAAGUAAAAGAGUGUUCCUUGUAAAAUAUUCAACUACAUGAUAGAAAGCAAUACGAUUAAAUGAUCAUUUUUUUAAUUAAACAUAACAAAUCAGCCACAAAGUUAUUUACAGACACCAUUAUGUAUAUACAUGCCCCCAUGCAUGCAUCUGUGUUUGUAAUGAACAGCCAAAAUUAUUGGUUCAUAGAUUGGAAAAAUUAAGAAACAGCUCAAAUUAAUCCCUUAUUCCCAUCAGAAAGGAAAAUAAGCCUAAAGAUAACAAAAGGAAAGAAGGGGAGGGGGGGG
rnacentral:misc_RNA from 1 species